UGUGCUUCUCAGCCUUCUGGCUAAGAUCAAGUGUAGUAUCUGUCCUUAUCAGUUUAAUUUUUGUCUCUCAUUAUUAAAAUACAAUCUAUAUAAGAAAUUUCUUUUUUUUCUCUGCCAUAUAGGACCUAGAUUAGAACCUGGCAUUUGUGUGAGUGAGUGUAUCUUUUCAUUAUUUUCCUUUGCAGUCUCCUCCUU
rnacentral:snRNA from 1 species